UACGUAGGGUCCGAGCGUUGUCCGGAAUUAUUGGGCGUAAAGGGCUCGUAGGCGGUUCGUCACGUCGGGAGUGAAAACUCGGAGCUUAACUCCGAGCCUGCUUCCGAUACGGGCAGACUAGAGGUAGGCAGGGGAGAGCGGAACUCCUGGUGUAGCGGUGGAAUGCGCAGAUAUCAGGAGGAACACCGGUGGCGAAGGCGGUUCUCUGGGCAUUACCUGACGCUGAGACACGAAAGCGUGGGUAGCAAACAGG
rnacentral:rRNA from 1 species